rnacentral:hammerhead_ribozyme from 1 species
GCACUGCUGAGGAGUCUCAAAGUAGGACGAAAUGGCCGUCCAGUGC